UACUACUCUGCUCUACUACUCUGCUCUCCUACUCUGCUCUCUACUACUCUGGUCUGCUGCUGUGCUGGUCUGCUGCUGUGCUGCUCUGCUGCUGAAAGCUUGCUUUAAUCUUCAGCUUCUACACUUUUCUCUGUUUUCUUCUCUUUUACUCUCUUCACACUUACUAAUCCACUUUUAGUCUGCUUCCUCUUUGCUCUACACACCUAUUAAUGCACUCUCAGUCUACUUUUAUAGACUUUUUCCUCAGGUUUGCUGGAUUAGCUGUUUGCUGCUGCAGUUUGUUUGUGUAAGUUUCUAAUUUCAACUGAAACAAGUUACUGACUGCCCACCUGUCUGACCCGAUACCGAUGUUGGACCCUCAGGCUCUCGCGUCUCCUGUCCAGCCAGACUGAUGGAAGUUUCUGAAGUCAGCUCUUCUCCACCACCACCACAGAUCAGCUGCUCAUCGACCAUCUUACUCUCCACUACUGAUUACAUCCAAGCCAUUAGUGGCGCUAUUACACUCCUGAGUACAUAAAACCUAUAUGGAUGUAUAAAAGACUUUUUAAAUUUUAAUUUAAAAGCCGUUUGACCAGUGGUAGGAUGGUCCCCCCUUUAAUGUGAGUCUUGGUCCUCCCAAGGUUUCUUCCUCCUCCUGCAGCUCUGAGGGAGUUUUUCCUUGCCUCCGCGCUCAUUGGGGGUUCUGUAUUAUGUAUAUUCUAUGUUUAAUGUUUUGCCUGAUUCUUUGUCCUGUAAUCAUGUUUCUGUAAAGCUGCUUUGUGCCAACACCUGUUGUAAAAAGCGCUAUACAAAUAAAUUUGAUUUGAUUUGAUUUGAUUUGAUGGCCGCCGGGCAUUAGCUGAACCCCGCGGCGGGGGCAGUGACUGAUAACCGAGGGGCAGUGGCUGAACCCCCGGGGUAUUAGGUGAACCCCGCGGCGGGGGCAGUGGCUGAUAACCGCGGGGCAGUGGCUGAACCCUUGGGGUAUUAGCUGAACCCCGCGGCGGGGGCAGUGGCUGAUGGCCGCCGGGCAUUAGGUGAACCCCGCGGCGGGGGUAGCAACAGGACAGGGAUAGUUUAAGUAUUUACUGCUGCUGCUAAAAUACGUGCCACAAAACAUAGUUUGGUGUUCAUAACUCAACUCUCUCAUCGUAACGCAGCUUGACUGACAAGGAGGGUCCGCAUCAAGCACUUCCUGUGUGUUAGACCCUCCCUUUCCUUCAGAAAUCGCAGUUUGUAAAAGUGUUUCAGCGUUUGUAAAAGUGUUUCAGCGUUUGUAAAAGUGUUUCAGCGUUUGUAAAAGUGUUUCAGCGUUUGUAAAAGUGUUUCAGCGUUUGUAAAAGUGUUUCAGCAUUUGUAAAAGUGUUUUGCGUCUUGUAAAUUUGUUUUAAGUUUUGUAAAUGUGUUUUAGUUUUUGUAAAUGUGUUUUAGUUUUUGUAAUUUUGUUUUCUGACAUGUUAAUUUGUUUUGCACUUCAGGGCCACCACAUUGGUGCUCAUCACCCUAAAAGCUCCAAUCCUAGAAUUGUUCAUGCAUUCUAGCCUGCAUUUAAAAAGUGCUGUCUAAAGCUUCAGGUUUGAGGCAAA